AAAAUAAAUAAAUAAAUAAAAACCUUACUUCCUAAACAAUAGAAUUAAGUUAUUUCUAUUUCUAAAAUACCCUUAAUAUAAUAAUUCUUUUUACACAAGAAAUAAAUCUAUUUUAAUUAUGCACAAAUUAUGUUUAAUAUUUAAUUUCAAAAUAUUUAUUUCAAAUGUUGUGUAUGUGAGAGACAGGUAGGAGGGAGAGAGUGUGAAUGUGAGAGAGAGAGAGAGAGAG
rnacentral:misc_RNA from 1 species